rnacentral:lncRNA from 1 species
UUUGCGCAUGAGCAGACUGCUGGCAGUUAAUCCCCCUGAUUAUGCAAAGACGGAAUUAUAGCGAGAAUUACUGACAGGCUGAGAGUUUCAUUCGGUCCAUCUGUGUGAGCCCCAGUAUGGAAGUAAUCAACAAAGCCUAGUGGAACCAGAAAGAAGUAUACAACUGGACAACCAAAAGUGAUUACAGCUAUAUGCAAUGUGCCUGACCAUCAGCUACUAAACACAGAACGUCUACAGGAGCGCUGA